rnacentral:rRNA from 1 species
GAUGAACGCUGGCGGCGUGCCUAAUACAUGCAAGUCGAGCGAACGGACGAUAAGCUUGCUUCUCUGCUGUUAGCGGCGGACGGGUGAGUAACACGUGGAUAACCUACCUAUAAGUCUGGGAUAACUUCGGGAAACCGCAUCUAAUACCGGAUCAUAUUUUGAACCGCAUGGUUCAAAAGUGAAAGACGGUCUUGCUGUCACUUAUAGAUGGAUCCGCGCUGGAUUAGCUAGUUGGUAAGGUAACGGCUUACCAAGGCAACGAUGCAUAGCCGACCUGAGAGGGUGAUCGGCCACACUGGAACUGAGACACGGUCCAGACUCCUACGGGAGGCAGCAGUAGGGAAUCUUCCGCAAUGGGCGAAAGCCUGACGGAGCAACACCGCGUGAGUGAUGAAGGUCUUCGGAUAGUAAAACUCUGUUAUUAGGGAAGAACAUAUGUGGAAGUAACUGUGGACGUCCUGACGGUACCUAAUCAGAAAGCCACGGCUAACUACGUG